rnacentral:lncRNA from 1 species
UAAUAUUAAUCACACAUACAAAUAUUGCAAGAUAGAAAAUUAAAGGAGUUAAGGGUUAGAGAAGAUUGCACCAAGAAUUUAUCCUGGUUCAGUUGUCAACGAGACAACCUACAUCCAGUCCUGACAAUCCAAUCGGAUUUUAGAUUUUCUUCUCCAAUAGAAAGAAUCAAUUACAGAUUGUCCAGUUUCAUCCCCGAAACCUAUCUAUCUUAAUGAUUUCUUUCCUAUUGAUCACCCUCUGAUCCUUGUAGA